UACAGAGGGGGCAAGCGUUAUUCGGAAUUAUUGGGCGUAAAGGGCGCGUAGGCGGCUUGGCAAGUGGAAGGUGAAAUCCCUCGGCUUAACCGAGGAACUGCCCUCCAAACUGCUUGGCUUGAGACCGGGAGAGGUGAGUGGAAUUCCCAGUGUAGCGGUGAAAUGCGUAGAUAUUGGGAGGAACACCAGUGGCGAAGGCGGCUCACUGGACCGGAACUGACGCUGAUGCGCGAAAGCGUGGGGAGCAAAC
rnacentral:rRNA from 1 species